AGGCUUUGAUCCUGGCUCAGGAUGAACGCUGGCGGCGUGCUUAACACAUGCAAGUCGAACGAACCUACGGGUUAGUGGCGGACGGGUGAGUAACGCGUGAGAAUCUGCCCUCAGGAGGGGGAUAACGGCUGGAAACGGCCGCUAAUACCCCAUAUGCCGAGAGGUGAAAUGAGUUAUCGCCUGAGGAUGAGCUCGCGUCUGAUUAGCUAGUUGGUGGGGUAAGAGCCUACCAAGGCAUCGAUCAGUAGCUGGUCUGAGAGGAUGAUCAGCCACACUGGGACUGAGACACGGCCCAGACUCCUACGGGAGGCAGCAGUGGGGAAUUUUCCGCAAUGGGCGAAAGCCUGACGGAGCAACGCCGCGUGAGGGAUGAAGGCCUCUGGGCUGUAAACCUCUUUUCUCAAGGAAGAAGAUCUGACGGUACUUGAGGAAUAAGCCACGGCUAUAUCCGUGC
rnacentral:rRNA from 1 species